rnacentral:rRNA from 1 species
GAUGAACGCUAGCGGCAGGCUUAAUACAUGCAAGUUGAGGGGCAGCAUGAUAUACGCGAGUAUAUUGAUGGCGACCGGCGGACGGGUGAGUAAUAGGUAGGAGACCUACCUCAUACAGGGGGAUAGCAUAGAGAAAUCUGUGGUAAUACCCCAUGAGGUUAUAUGAAUAGAGGCAUAUAAUCAAAGCAUAAGCGAUUAUGCGGUAUGAGAGGGGCCUACUGACCAUUAGCUAGUUGGUGAGGUAAGGGCUCACCAAGGCGAAGAUGGUUAGGGGUUUUGAGAGAGAGACCCCCCACAUUGGAACUGAGAGACGGUCCAGACUCCUACGGGAGGCAGCAGUAGGGAAUAUUGGGCAAUGGGCGAAAGCCUGACCCAGCCAUGCCGCGUGAAGGAAGACGGCCUUAUGGGUUGUAAACUUCUUUACUACGCGAAUAGAGGUUAGUACGAGAUACUAAUAGGAAGGUAGUGUAGUAAAAGCACCGGCUAACUCCGUGCC